GGCACAGACAUCGGGAGACGAGCAAACACUUAGCCGAGCGCAGAGUGCUCGCUGCUGCAUUGCAGGGUUUGCUGGCAACAAAGCGAUGGGGGUGCUUCUGCUGCUCUUGGAAGGACCCUGGUUCAGCACAAAGUGCUCUGAGUGGUGGAGCCUCUGUGGCGAUGCACAGCAGGUUGGAGGUGAAGGUGUCUGCUGGGGCUUUUCCUCUCCUCUGAGUCACCAAGUUUCUUCUGAAGCCACAGAACCAGGAAUUUCUGAUGUGGAAACCUUUUGUCUCUUCUGUGACAACAGUGAGAAGAAAUAGGAAGAUUUGACAACUGCAGGGGAGUUCCAGAAACAUUUGCAGGCAAAAAACCUUGGAGGAUCACGUUGCUCCAGUUGCUGGACACUUCCAAGUGGAAGGAGUGCAAAAUCCAAUUUUUCCCAUACUAAUCUCAACCACACUCAACUUAUGCCCACUGAAGAGACUGAGCACGUUUUUGGGGUGGGUGUAACGUAUCCCCAGCUGGCACAGCCGUAGUGGGGCUGCUGUUAGCUCUCUGCCUUCUGCACAUCACAUCAGGGACACUGUGAGCCAUGUUCAGUCCAGAAUUGGAAUGGAUGUGAGGCUGAGGUGAAAGAGAUGAUAGAAAACUGCUCAGAAAUGAAGAGAAGUUUUGUAUUUUGUGAGCCUGACUUGCUAAAAAUGCCUCCGGAUUUUAUUCUUCAUUCAAAAACAGGCCCUUUCCUGAAUAGAAAUCUAUCUAUUUGAAGUCUAAGUGACUUUGAGAUUAAACAACAAAUUAGGUUUCUGGAUUUUCAAAUUCUAUUUUAAUUGAAUGUUCUAGCCAUGCAGAAUGUAAAGAAACUGAAAAUGUCUGAUGCCAAAUGGCACACUUAUUAUUUGAAAUUUGAUGACAAAUUUGUCCUUAUUUUUAUCCAAUUAUAAUAAGAGGUCCUUCUGUUACAAAACAUUACAAAGCAGUACUAAGGCCAGAGAGCUGCUAGAGAAAUCUUUUUUCUGUCAUGUGGAGCACUGUACAGAAUUGCGUGGGUUUAAACAAAAUGUAUCUUGAUGUUUUACCUUAAAACUCUCUGUCCUUUUCCUCAGUUCAGCUGAAUCCUAUGAAAUAGAUACGCAGCUUGGAGAAGUUCUUCACGCCCCCACAAAUGCUAAAAAUGGCCCUGAUACAACAUGUAUUUAUGUAACAAAAUCAUCUGCAUUAAUAUCUUCCUUUCCUUUCAUCGAGAAGCACAGGGGGGGACUCGGCUGACACAUUUCAAUGCAGCCCCUUCCAUUCUUCUCCCUGCAUUUGGGGCAGCAGGGACAAGCACUGCUCUCCCUUAAAAACCAGGGCAAUGAAUGAACAGGAACAUGACGUGACUAUCAAUAGCGAGUUUGAGGGAAGAUUGUGGUCCGAGCUUUCAGGUUCUCUCCCCCUGAAUAUUCAGUUUCCUGUCACAGAUCAAAAUCACUUGUUACAAGGAUUCUGGCCGCUCUCGUUGUGCUGAUGUUCCAAAAUAAAGAGAGCAUUUAAAAAAUAAAAUUUCCUCUACUUUUACUGAGAAGCCAAGAGACUAGUUGGCUCAUGGGAUCAAGCAUGAUGUAUGGAGUCUUUCACCUCUUGUUCACAUCUGGCGGGAUGCAGUGAGAAAUGUUCCUGCUUGGCAGCUGGUUGGUGUCCCGUUUGUCACUGUCGUGUUCAGGUGGACUCUUGCUCUCGGGGUCGCAGUCCGUCCCCAGCAGCGGGCAGCUCUGCAGCCAGGGACACUGAGCACGGUGUGGGGUUUAUCUCUGCCCCUGGGGCUGUCCCCCUGGGCCAGGACAGAGUCCUGCUAUCAGGAGGCAGAAGAAGAAUGAACAGUAGCUGCUGCUGCUGCUGGUAGGGCUGGAGGAAGCCUUGGUAACCCUGCCGUGUUUAGCAUUACUAGAGCAUCUGGGGAAAUAAACAGCUUGUUUUUCAGAUGCAGGCUUAUAUUCUGACUGCUCUCCCUGUAUGGAUGCUGGCAGCUGAGGGUGCAGGCCAGGAUGGCUCCCUGCGGCCUGUCACAGGCCGUGUUAUCCCAAAGAAUGACCUCCUGAGCCCAUCCAGCCAAUGCUCAACGCCCCGACCUGUUGCCUGCUGUGGAAACGAAUCCUAACCAGCAGCGAGGAUCAAACCAAUGUUCUCAGCAGCAGCUGUAAACUCGAUAAGCUGCCUGUCCUCCUUUCUCUCCCCCCGCCCUGUCCCUCCCUUUGGUGUUGAAAUGAAGGCAGGGACGUGCUGAGAGAAGCAGUGCAGCGUUCUGUUUGCAGGAUAAUAUGCCGACCACAUGUAC